UACGGAGGGUGCAAGCGUUGUCCGGAUUUAUUGGGUUUAAAGGGUGCGUAGGCGGCCCGGUAAGUCAGUGGUGAAAGCCUCCAGCUCAACUGGAGAACUGCCAUUGAUACUGUCGGGCUUGAGUACAGACGAGGUAGGCGGAAUUGAUUGUGUAGCGGUGAAAUGCAUAGAUACAAGCAAGAACUCCGAUGGCGUAGGCAGCUUACUAGGCUGUAACUGACGCUCAGGUGCGAAAGCGUGGGGAGCAAAUAGG
rnacentral:rRNA from 1 species